GAAAGUGUCAGGAGUUUGUGGUUUCUUCAUUCAGAGGGACACAACCAAAAUGGUGGAUGGUUUAUCUCCUAGUCUAGUUUAGUCUUUCAUGAUAUGAUGAAUAAUAUUACAUAUAUCAUUAUAUAGUUUUUUGAAGCCUGAACAAGAAGAUUUAGAAAAGCAUGUUAACUGCUUCACUGCUUCAGGAGGAAACACUGUUUUCAGGAUGAUAUUAGAGUUUGCCAUGCUGUUUUUUCUCACGGACGUAACAGCAAAGUUUGGGACCACCCCAAAUCUUAAACAGAUCGUCAUCGGACGGUGUUAUGAAUAUGUAACCUUGGUUAAUCCCAACCCCAGGUAUAAUUGUGAGGAGAUAUGGCAGGAGUUUGAAAAAGCUGUGGUUAGGAGAUCACCCUGCGAUGUGAGAGUUAAAGAUUACCAAAAAAUGUUCCGGGCCAUCACUCAGAUUUUACCAUGUGGCAAGGUGAUUUCAUUCAAGUGUUUUCACAUAAGAAACUAAACAACAGUAAAAAAGUUAAUUUAAAACAUUUAUUCAAUCUUUAGAUUGAGCUUUAAAAACUCACAUGGCUAAUCUGAAUAGUCUUCAUGUCACAGUUUGUAAUAAACACGGAUUUGAAGAUGAAGGAUCAAAAGUCUUUAAUAUAAUAA